rnacentral:ncRNA from 1 species
GUGAAGCCCGCGCCGGGACGUGUAUGAGAAAGAUCCGGUGCGGUGCAGGUGGGUAAAUCUCCGGCCCUUGCACGGGCGGGAGUUCCAUUUAGCGCCGGCGUCCGUGAGUUGCACCUCUCGGGCGCCGGCG